UAAGAAUACUACUCCUCCCUGCGCUUAAAAUUUUAGGGCAAAUUAAAUAAUAAUUAAAAAUAAAAAAAUCCCCCCACUUUCGCUCACAAACUGCACGCCUAGCCCUAACUAAGAGAAACUGCGCUGGUAGUUAACGAAACCCUAUAAUCAUCUUCUUCUCGAUUCGCUCAUCAAUUGCUCGCCAUAAGCGUCUUCUUCAUCAGGUAUGCCUUUUUCUCUUUUUUUUUCGUUCCAAUUUUUCGAAUUUCUCAAUUCGCUCAUCAAUUGCUCCUUUUCUUUUUUCGUUCCAAGUCUUCGAAUUUCGCUCACAAAUUGCAAAGUUGCGAGAAUUUGAGUUGUAUAACGGAAUUCUCUGAAAUUUCAAUAAAAUUAUUCUUGUUUGCCAUCGUCUUCUGCAUCAGGGUUCGAAUAAGGCCGGUGAGUAGAGAAAGGAGGUUCAGAAAGAGACGAAUUUGUCGUGCUUGUAAUUGUUUCCCAUGAAAGUUAUGUAGAUAGGAUAAAGCUAUCAGAGUCUAAUCUCGUAAUAAAUUCAAUGAGCUAGUUUGCUAAAUUUUAGGUGCAUACAAGAUCAAAGGCAUCAAAUGCUCAUGCGAAUUUUACCACGGACAAUGGUGUGGCUGGAAUAUUGUUUUCAAGAUAGGAAAGAUUUGUCUUCUGAUUAUUUAUGAUGGUAUUACUGUGGCUACUGCUUUCCAUGUGAGAUCUGACCCAUAAUUGCCUCCCACAGGUUCAUCUUCAAUAUGUUACUCCAUUGUCCGAGUUAUUGCCAUGUUAAAAGUGUAAUUUAAACUGAUGAUAUGACAAUGUGAUCCAAUCAGGGGUAGUGUGCAGAUUAUUUUCAUAUAUUAAAUGGACAAGACACCCUUAUAAUUUGCCAAUAUGUUGAAAUUAUAGUGUUGCUUUGUUUGGCUUCAAUAAAGUCCCCUGUUGGUUUUAGACAUGCAUAUUAAUCGUAAGCAUAUGAAAUUGAUUGAGAGAGAUUCAGGGGGUGCCUCUACCAUGAUUAUGUUGAUGAGAAAGUUUUGAUGUAUGGUGAUAUCUACUUAAUGGGCACAUAUGAUUAUUAUGAUCUCUAGUUCUAGGUAGAGACUGGUUGUGACAAUGUUUUUAGUAUUCCCAGUUUUAUUUGGUAGGAUAAGUUUUUAUUGUAAGUCGAACCUUGGGCAGCAGGGCAGUUAUAUGAGAGGAAAAAUUUGAACAACCUUCUGUAAAUUAUGAACGUUAUAGAGUUCGUCUUUCUAGUCUAAUUUAUUUUCUGCUCGUGUUACCUAUUUUUUUGGGAUAUAUUAUAUGUGCUAAUUAUAAUUUUGGUCUUAUUUUUCAUCUUUUGAAGGUACUCGAAAAUAAUAAUAAAGGUCUAACAGAUAAGAAUAAGAGGGCACUACUUGAGGCUUCAAAUUGGCUACCAUCAUUGUUUUGCUAAAUCUUAGUAUUAGUUAGCUUUGUAAGGCUACAACUACAUUUUUAGUGUGUUUUAAUUUGUAGUAUUUUUAGAAACAUAUUAGUUAUGAAGUAUUAUUAAUGAACGUGUGUAGGGAUUUUAAUUGUAUGAACUACGUUUAUGAUUUAUCAUUUAUGAUAAUAUAUACAAAGUUCGAAGUAUUUUUAUGUAA